GAUGAACGCUGUCGGCGUGCUUAACACAUGCAAGUUGAACGAGUAGCGGAUGGGCGAGUAACACGUGCGAUCCUGCCUUUCUCAGGGCAAUAACACUGGGAACCCAGCGCUAAUACCCCAUAGUGAAAGAUGGUCUCGCGCCUGAUUAGCUAGUAGGUGAGGUAACGGCUCACCUAGCCGACGAUCCCUAGCUGGUCUGAGAGGAGGAUCAGCCACACUGGAACUGAGACACGGCCCAGACUCCUACGGGAGGCAGCAGUGGGGAAUAUUGCACAAUGGGCACAAGCCUGAUGCAGCCAUGCCGCGUGUAUGAAGAAGGCCUUAGGGUUGUAAAGUACUUUCAGCGGGGAGGCGUUACCCGCAGAAGAAGCACCGGCUAACUCCGUGCCAGCAGCCGCGGUAAUAC
rnacentral:rRNA from 1 species